UACGUAGGCAGCGAGCGUUGUUCGGAGUUACUGGGCGUAAAGGGUGUGUAGGCGGUUGUUUUAAGUUUGGUGUGAAAUCUCCCCGGCUCAACUGGGAGGGUGCGCCGAAUACUGAAUGACUAGAGUGCGGGAGAGGAAAGUGGAAUUCCUGGUGUAGCGGUGAAAUGCGUAGAUAUCAGGAGGAACACCGGUGGUGUAGACGGCUUUCUGGACCGUAACUGACGCUGAGACACGAAAGCGUGGGUAGCAAACAGG
rnacentral:rRNA from 1 species